GAUGAACGCUGGCGGCGUGCCUAAUACAUGCAAGUCGAGCGAAUGGAUUAAGAGCUUGCUCUUAUGAAGUUAGCGGCGGACGGGUGAGUAACACGUGGGUAACCUGCCCAUAAGACUGGGAUAACUCCGGGAAACCGGGGCUAAUACCGGAUAACAUUUUGAACCGCAUGGUUCGAAAUUGAAAGGCGGCUUCGGCUGUCACUUAUGGAUGGACCCGCGUCGCAUUAGCUAGUUGGUGAGGUAACGGCUCACCAAGGCAAGGAUGCGUAGCCGACCUGAGAGGGUGAUCGGCCACACGUGGACUGAGACCGUGCCCAGACUCCGACGGGAGGCAGCAGUAGGGAAUCUUCCGCAAUGGACGAAAGUCUGACGGAGCAACGCCGCGUGAGUGAUAAAGGCUUUCGGGUCGUAAAACUCUGUUGUUAGGGAAGAACAAGUGCUAGUUGAAUAAGCUAGCACCUUGACGGUACCUAACCAGAAAGCCACGGCUAACUACGUGCCAGCCGCCGCCGUAA
rnacentral:rRNA from 1 species